GCAUGUGUAGCCAAGUGGUCGACGGCGCUGGACUUGAGAUCCAGUGAGUUUUUGCUCUCAUGGGUUCGAAUCCCCUCACAUGCG
rnacentral:tRNA from 1 species